rnacentral:rRNA from 1 species
CCUACGGGAGGCAGCAGUGGGGAAUAUUGCACAAUGGGGGAAACCCUGAUGCAGCGACGCCGCGUGAGUGAAGAAGUAAUUCGUUAUGUAAAGCUCUAUCAGCAGGGAAGAAAAUGACGGUACCUGCGUAAGCAGCCCCGGCUAACUACGUGCCAGCCGCCGCGGUAAUACGUAGGGGGCAAGCGUUAUCCGGAUUUACUGGGUGUAGGGGGAGCGUAGACGGCAGUGCAAGUCUGGUGUGAAAGGCGGGGGCUCAACCCCCGGACUGCUCUGGAAACUGUACGGCUGGAUUGCAGGAGAGGAAAGUGGAAUUCCUAGUGUAGCGGUGAAAUGCGUAGAUAUUAGGAGGAACACCAGUGGCGAAGGCGGCUUACUGGACUGUAACUGACGUUGAGGCUCGAAAGCGUAGGGAGCAAACAGGAUUAGAUACCCCAGUAGUC